GCUCGGGAGCCCGGGCUGGCCUGGAACUCACAGAGAUCUGCCCGCCUCUGCCUCCCAAGUGCUGGGAUUAAAGGCGUGUGCCACCAACGCCCAGCUUAAAGUAAGAGUUUUCUUUGUACAACUCUAUGUACAAGAUGACAAAAACCUUUAAAAUAAAAGUCUCAUUUGUAACAGUACAUCUGCUAUUACUUGAUUAAUGCACUAAGACAACAAAAAUGAAAAAAAUAAAUGAAAGAAUAUUUUUGAUAAGAUUUAUUAGUAUAACCUGUUGCUGGAAGUUCCAACUAAGAACUCCUUUUCGAAUAACCAGUCUUUGCCAAUGUAUUGUUAGCUACAAUUAGAGAGGGAUAUUCAUUGACUUUAUCACUGUGUAUAACUACGUUGUUAGUCAAAGAGAUCAAAACAUAUUUUCUACUAAAAUGUUUUAGAUUGCUUGCUUGUGUGGUUUGGUUUUAUUUAGUUUUUCCACUGUACAUAAUGGGAAAUUACUAACCCGGAAUCAUCCAAUGGAACCAAAAGUCAUAUGUAAAGAAAAAUACGUUUUAAGAAGCAACAGGUUUACUUUUAUUUCAUUAAUCAAUCAAUAUUUCUAGCCUAGUUAAGAUGAAUUUCAUGAAUCCAUACAUUGAGAAUUGUAGAGAAUUCUAUUUUAAUAUUAAUUAAUACUUACCUAUAAUAAAAUUAUAUAAUUCUCCUUCAACAAAAAAGAAUGCAAACUAUAUGCCCACAUGACUAUUGCAGCGGCGGGGGGCGGGGGGGUGCAGCACAGCAAAUGGCAUUCUUCUUGCGAGAAUGACCAGCUGACUUGUCUUUAUUCAAUCCUCAGAUUCCCUCACCUGAACCGGUGAGAAGUUGUAGUGCUGGCGUUAUAACACACAACCAUCUGUAAUGAGAUUCGGUGCCCUCUUUUGGCAUGCAGGCAUACAUUCAGGCAGAACACUGUACACAUAAUAAAAUAAAAUAAAAAAAAAGGAUCCUCUGGAAGAUUCAGAGCCAACAGACCCUGGCAAUGAGCCUGGCACGGAAGGGCAAUGAGCAUAUUCCGACUUGCUUUUCCCAUCCUGUUUCUGGGGCAGAGCCAGUAGCCUAAAUUUACCCCUAACCCAAGGUCCCCUGUGGGUGUAGUCACGUGAGCUGGAGCAUCCUUGUUGAGCUAAGAAUGAGCAUCAAGUCCUUGAGUAGAACACAGGAUUCACCUGGAAUUGAGUUAGAUGGAGCUCCUCCAGCUCCAUGACAGGGUACAAUGUCCCCACAGCCUUCUUUGACUUCCCGCCACUCCUGGGGACACUCAGGAUUUAAGGGCUCAUCUCCCUUGGUAGGCAUGGAACCCACUCCAUCUACAAGCACCCUUUUCCGAGGUCACUGACCCUUUGUUUGCAGCUUCUCCUCGCUUGAUCACAGCCUGGUUUACAUACCCACCAGCUCCCAGUUCCACCUCUCAAAGUCCCAGGUUUACAAGCUAUACCUAUUCACGGACUCCCUGAGGAAUCCACCACCCUCUGUUUGUCCUAUUAAGAGUGACCUGGGGAGGUUAUGUGGCUUUCUUCAACUUUGCUCAGUAUUACUGUGCCUCAGUUCCUCCCAGGAGGGAAGACUGGGGAUCCUCACUCUGAACCCCAUGAGAAUUAUUUAAUUCUGCUCCUCCAUGUGGUUCACAUUGAAUUGAAUUGCAGUGUGUGGGGACUAAAGGAGGCCUCACCUCUCCCCUAUUGCUCCUUCAUCAAUUGCCUGGUUUGUUUCAUUUUGUACCUUUCCAUAAUAAAAUGGAGCUCUUUUCAAUGCUAUAAAAUAAAAAAAACACUAAAUAGAAAAUACAAAUGCCAAAUAAUAAAUAUGCUAAUUACUUCGAUACAGCUUACAUUUCAGCUUUAAAUAAUUAUUCCAGUUUCAGCAGUAUUUUUGUUAUUUAUUUAUUUGGGUAUUCUUGAUACUGGAUCUCACUGUGGAGCUCAGGCUGGCCUUGAGCUCACUGUGUAGCUCAGGCUGGCCUUGAGCUCACUGUGUAGCUCUGCUUCAGUCUCUCAAGUGUUAUGUUAUAGGCAUGCCUAAUACCUGGCUCAAUAAUAUUCUGAAGCAGAAAGUAGUGUCUGUCAAUCAGUUUGCUGUAUAAAUAAUCAUGUGACUUAUUGCAUGUGUCAGCGUCUGCAAAUAUUCAAAUGUAAGAGCAAUGUGAAGCGGUGCACACCGGCACAUGUCUUUGAUCCCAGAACUUGGAGGCUACUCAGGCAAUGACAACAAUACGACAAUAACAACAACAACAAAAAGUCACGUGGAUUAUUUAAUUAUAAAAUGAGUGUUGCAAAAGAAGGAAAUGAGAGAAAACUGGAAAUCCAAAGAGUGAUGAAAACUUGUUUGGAAGAGUUGAGAAAAACUACUGUGUCUGGGAAGCGUUAGGAUUAAGCAUCUUGGUCAUGGGCUGUCUGAUGCUAGUGAGGUGGAAGUUCUGUUGAAAAAGGAGUCAGUGUAAGAAGGUGCCUGACUUAAAAGGGUUAUUGUCAUGGGUGGAGAUAUCACCAAGGAUAACACCGGGCAACAGAGCGGGACAACCUGCUAAAAGAGCCUGAGACAGGCUCAUUGUCUCUGUACUUUUCACUCUUGUUCAUGUAUUUCCAGACUGUGACAGGAGAGCAUGGAGUCAUUGGUUGCUAACCUUAGUUAGAUUUAAAAAGGUGAGAUUACCCGUAAAAGUGGAAGUACAGAGCAUAAAAGUUACGGCAAGUAGGAAAGAAUUUAUGGGAAAGUAAUGAAUUAAAAUCAUAGUUGUAGGUGGGCGGUGCUGACACAUGCCUUUUAUCCCAGUACUCAGGAAGAAGAGGUAGGCGGGUCUCUGUGAGUUUGAGGCUAGCCUAGUCUACAUAGAGAGUUCCAGGAUAGCCUGGGCAACACAGAGAAACCCUGCCUGGGGUAGGGGGAGAAUCAAAGCUGUAAAUUAAGAAAAUGACAGAAAAGAUAAGACUCCAUUAGUUGAGUGGAUUUUCCCAAGGAGACUUUAUUCUGAUGCACUCCAGGAAAAGCACGAGAGUAGAGGGAGUAGUCUGAAAGCAAGACUAGAAAAGAGAUUAAAAAAAAAAGUGCAAGACUUCAGUAAAGGAAAUCAAUUUGGGGGAAAAAUAAUUAAUCUCAGUGCUUCAUCGAAUGUCAGACUUUCAACUGUUUAGUGGCAAACCAAAGGAAAGCGUAAUAAGAGCCACAGUUAGAAUGCAACGAGGAGCCAGGCGUUGCUGGCACACGCCUUUAAUUCCAGCACUCGGUAAGCAGAGGCAGAGGCAGAGGCAGAGGCAGAGGCAGAGGAUCUCUGUGAGGUAGAGACCAGCCUGGUCUACAAGAGCUAGUUCCAGGACAGCCUCCAAAGCCACAGAGAAACCCUGUCUCGACAAACAAAAAAUAAACAAACAAACAAACAAACAAAAAUGCAACGAGGAAAAUACACUCUGACCCAGGAGAGGCCAGUAAUGGAAACCCUGCCUGCCUCUGUGGGAAGUUAGCCUGCUGAUGGAUUGAGCCCACAGGCUACCAGGCUCUUUUCCAGUUAAGUCUGCAAUAAAGAGGCGUUUCUCUUUCUCUGGAACCUAGACAAGGUAUAAAUUGUGCUGUGGCAGAUUUUGAAACAGAGCGUCCCUCCUCCACCCACGAGGUCUUACACCCACAGGCUUAGAGAAGGGCGGCGACUACAGACCACAGGUGUUUGGCACCUGGGCUCAGCCUGCCCUGCAUGGGGACCAGAAACUGCAGACAGCAGUGGUCAGGAGAGGUUCAUGGUGCUGCUGUUGCUGCUGGCUGACAGUGACUAACUUCGAGAAGAGAUUAGUCCAGUAAGGCACCGGCAUCUCCUCCUAGAGGUCCUUGAUGCACUACUGGUCUUCAAGGGAGGGUGUGUGUGUGUUCAAGCACAUGAGGUGUGCUGGAUAGGAGGCCCAGUACAGGCUUGUGGCCACCAGUGUGGGUAGAGCCACCAUGGCAAUGCAUGGCCUGACCUGGAUGAGACAAUGCGGUAAUGCCAGUGGCCUCUGGAGUAGUUCAGGAUCAAAGCCUGGGUCGGCCUUGAACUGGCCAGGCUCAGCGGAGUCCAGGCCUCUCUGCACUCUUGCAACCCCCAGCCUCCAAAGGCUAGCUGCACACCUCUCUUGGGGGUUUUCAGUGCGAUUGGCUGAGGACUCUGCUUGGAUCUCUCCUUCAGGUUCCCUCGAAGUUUUGCUUUAUGCAUGCUCUUCUCCCUGGAACGUUUGCCAGAGUGUCUUUUAUUUUUUCCUACCAACCAAACCUGCCCUGUGUCCUGGCAACACUUCCUCAGUCUUUGUUUUGUUUAAUUUUUGAUAUUUUUAAAAGUUUCCUGUGACUUCCCAAAUGUUUACUCAUUCUCAACUCUGCCUAGAUGUAGAUGUUUUGCUAAUGGUAGCAACUUAGCAUUUGCACAAAAAUACUUAUGGUAGUGGUGGUGGUGUUGAUUUGAAUGUGGAAGAGUGAUUACUAUAGGCUGAGAAGGUGUGUGUGUGUGUGUGUGUGUGUGUGUGUGUGUGUAAAAGGAGGUUGGAUCUGAAACAUUCUGCAUUGAUUUAAUAAUAGGCAUAUAAUAAGUUCAUGUUAAAUUAUGUUUAAACUUUAAAACAAAGUGGAACAUAACUGUUUUAAUAAGAAAACUUCACUGAGUCAGGCUCUGCUGUGGGUGCAGGUGUCGCCCACAUCCUGGGGACUCUGCUGAAUGAGUUCAGGCCACCCUGGACCAAAAAGUUUUUUGAUGCAUUUACCCCAGAAUGAGCGCCAUAAAGAUAUCAACAGGAUCUAAAAACCAGUAAGAUGUAUUCUGGCAACCCAUGGGUUGAUUUUCAACAGUAACAAACAAAUGAAAAAUUGAAUUGGAGACAAGGAAUUUAUUUCCUCUGUGAAGAAAUUCCUCCUCUGCCUCGCAGGACACCAUUGGGAUCCAUUCCUCAGCAGCUGGGCAGCUGUGAAAGCAUCUGGGGAGUUGUGCUCCACUGUAUUUAAGCUAUGUGUCAGGAUUUUGAGCCACACCAAAAUGUAUAUGGUGCCUGAGAACCAGCUAUGUAGCCAGAAAUUGCUGUGAAGUUACUCCAGCCAGCAGCCUCAGCUUUAAGAUGCUGUCCUGAUUCCAACUAACACAAAGCCCAGGAACGAAUUUUGCUUUCCCAACAGGCUACCCCCGCCCUUCUUCAAGGAAAGCUCCUUUCAGUCCCUAGCUGCUUCUUUCCUCUACCCCUAUUUCUGACUCCUCUGUUCUGUCCUAUUUAGCAUGUGGACCUUUCUGGGAAGACCUGAAUGCGUUCUGUACCUGUCUUCUGCCUUAUCCGUGAUGGCUCUGCCCAACCAUAACCAGUUUCCCAGGCUUAAUCAAACUCACUUGACUCCUUUGUUGCUGCUGACUCGAGGGGAAGGUCUGAAAGUUGAGGGGUCACAAUUCACACUGGAAGGUUCCCCAUUUCGGAUCUUAUCUGGCAUUAUAGACUACUUCCGGAUACCUAAGCAACAGUGGAGAAUCAGCUUACGGAAGAUGCGGGCCUGUGGCUUCAACACCCUUACCACGCACGUUCCUUGGAACCUCCAUGAGCCUGCAGUGGGCCAAUUUUACUUCACUGAUAACUUGGACCUCAUAGCUUUUAUCACUAUGGCUUCAGAGGAGGGACUCUGGGUCAUUCUGUGUCCAGGUCCCUACAUUGGCAGCGACUUAGACCUCGGAGGCUUGCCCAGCUGGUUACUGAGGGACCCAAAAAUGAAGCUGCGGACAACCUAUAGUGGAUUCACUAAAGCAAUGAAUCGGUAUUUUGAUGGCCUGGUUCCCAGGAUAGCACAGUUCCAGUAUAAAAAAGGAGGGCCUAUCAUUGCCGUGCAAAUUGAGAACGAGUAUGGGUCCUACUAUAUGGAUAAAAAAUAUAUGGCAUAUGUACAAAAGGCUUUAGUGUCAAGAGGGAUCAGUGAGCUGCUCAUGACUGCAGAUGAUGGUCUGAAUGUGAGAAAGGGCCACUUGAAAAAUGUGCUGGCCACUGUCCACAUGAAGAAUAUAAAGAAACAAACAUAUGAAGAUCUCAAAUCCAUUCAAGGUAAAAGCCCUAUACUGAUGAUGGUAUAUACAACAAAGACUUUUGACACGUGGGGGGCUCUCCGCAACUUUGGAGAUCCACAGAUGCUGAUGAAAGACGUGCGUGAGAUGUUCCUCCUCGGAUUUUCCUUCAACUUCUACAUGUUCCAUGGUGGCACCAACUUUGGCUUCAUAGGUGGAGCUCAGUCUUCACAUGGUUAUCAACCCGUCGUAACCAGCUAUGACUACUGUGCACUGCUGACAGAGGCUGGCCAAUACACACCCGAGUAUCGGGUGUUUCAAGAGUUUUUUCAUUCUAUUACAGAAGCUUCCACAUUCAUUCAACCACAAUUGGCACUGGGGACUGCCUAUUCAUCAUUGACAGUCAUAUAUUUCAUGACCCUGUGGGAAGUCCUGCCCCUUCUGGACCGGCCAACCAAGUCUGCCAAGCCAAUCUCCAUGGAGCAGCUACCUGUGAACCAACGGAAUGGCCAGUCCUUUGGGUACACACUUUAUGAGACUACCAUCUUCAGUGGAGGCCGCCUCUUUUCAAGGGGUCAUAUUCAAGACCGAGGGCAGGUGUUUUUGGACAACAACUACAUAGGAGUCCUGGAUCAUUACCACAAUGAGCUACUUAUUGUGAAAAAUGCUUCCAAGAAAACCCAGAGCCUGAGCAUACUGGUGGAGAACCAAGGCCGCCUCACUUAUGGGAAGGAUAUCAACAAGGAGAGAAAAGGUUUAACUGGAGACAUCUAUCUGAAAAAGACUCCACUAAGAAAAUUUACAAUCCACAGCCUGGAAAUGAAAAAUACACUCAUACAAACGACUGGGGAAAGGGUGUCAUAUUCAUCAAUGGACAAAUCCUAGGACGAUAUUGGAGUAUCGGUCCCCAGAAAGCCCUCUAUAUCCCUAGCUCCUGGCUUCAUCCUGGUAUUAACGAGAUCGUGAUGUUUGAGGAGUUGAAUGGUGGCCAAAAGAUCCAAUUCACUAGCGAGCCUGACCUAGGU